AUGAACGCUGGCGGCGUGCCUAAUACAUGCCAGUCGAGCGAACAGACGAGGAGCUUGCUCCUCUGACGUUAGCGGCGGACGGGUGAGUAACACGUGGAUAACCUACCUAUAAGACUGGGAUAACUUCGGGAAACCGGAGCUAAUACCGGAUAAUAUAUUGAACCGCAUGGUUCAAUAGUGAAAGACGGUUUUGCUGUCACUUAUAGAUGGAUCCGCGCCGCAUUAGCUAGUUGGUAAGGUAACGGCUUACCAAGGCAACGAUGCGUAGCCGACCUGAGAGGGUGAUCGGCCACACUGGAACUGAGACACGGUCCAGACUCCUACGGGAGGCAGCAGUAGGGAAUCUUCCGCAAUGGGCGAAAGCCUGGCGGAGCAACGCCGCGUGAGUGAUGAAGGUCUUCGGAUCGUAAAACUCUGUUAUUAGGGAAGAACAUAUGUGUAAGUAACUGUGCACAUCUUGACGGUACCUAAUCAGAAAGCCACGGCUAACUACGUG
rnacentral:rRNA from 1 species